CCACGGUAGCUCAGAAGGAUUUGGAACAGACACACCAUAGGCUGCAGUGAUGGAUGACCUACUCUUGCCCAGCUAAAGAUUUCUCUGUCUUUCUACAACAUUCAAUGUAUUCACUGCAAUAUGAAGACCCUCCAGGUUCUACAUCAAUCACUCUUUCUUCUCAAUAUCUAUACAAAGGCACUGGGGAAAAUUAUGAAACAACAUUUAAAGUACCAACAAAAUGGA